rnacentral:tRNA from 1 species
GUAAUCGUAGCUUAAAGGAAAGCGUGGCGUUGAAAAUGCCAAGAUGGCGCUUGCCCGAGAACA